ACGUAGGCAGCGAGCGUUGUUCGGAAUUACUGGGCGUAAAGAGUGUGUAGGCGGUGCUCUAAGUCUGGUGUGAAAUCUCCCGGCUCAACUGGGAGGGUGCGCCGGAAACUGGGUUGCUAGAAUGUGGGAGAGGCUAGCGGAAUUCCUGGUGUAGCGGUGAAAUGCGUAGAUAUCAGGAGGAACACCUGCGGUUUAGACGGCUGGCUGGACCACUACUGACGCUGAGGCACGAAAGCGUGGGGAGCAAACAGGA
rnacentral:rRNA from 1 species